AUUGAACGCUGGCGGCAGGCCUAACACAUGCAAGUCGAGCGGCAGCGGGAAAGUAGCUUGCUACUUUUGCCGGCGAGCGGCGGACGGGUGAGUAAUGCCUGGGAAAUUGCCCAGUCGAGGGGGAUAACAGUUGGAAACGACUGCUAAUACCGCAUACGCCCUACGGGGGAAAGCAGGGGACCUUCGGGCCUUGCGCGAUUGGAUAUGCCCAGGUGGGAUUAGCUAGUUGGUGAGGUAAUGGCUCACCAAGGCGACGAUCCCUAGCUGGUCUGAGAGGAUGAUCAGCCACACUGGAACUGAGACACGGUCCAGACUCCUACGGGAGGCAGCAGUGGGGAAUAUUGCACAAUGGGGGAAACCCUGAUGCAGCCAUGCCGCGUGUGUGAAGAAGGCCUUCGGGUUGUAAAGCACUUUCAGCGAGGAGGAGGCUACUAGUACUAAUACUACUGGAUAGUGGACGUUACUCGCAGAAUAAGCGCCGGCUAACUCUGUGCCAGCCGCCGCCGUAACAC
rnacentral:rRNA from 1 species